rnacentral:rRNA from 1 species
GACGGAGGGGGCUAGCGUUGUUCGGAAUUACUGGGCGUAAAGGGCGCGUAGGCGGCUAUUUAAGUGAGGCGUGAAAGCCCUGGGCUUAACCCAGGAGGUGCGUUUCAUACUGGAUGGCUUGAGUACGAGAGAGGAAAGCGGAAUUCCUAGUGUAGAGGUGAAAUUCGUAGAUAUUAGGAAGAACACCAGAGGCGAAGGCGGCUCUCUGGCUCGUAACUGACGCUGAGGCGCGAAAGCGUGGGGAGCAAACAGG